ACUAGGAAGAACUUCAGAAAGCAACGGAGAGCACCUUAAUGCUAGCACAGCCAGCCUGCUUCCCAGUACCUGAGCAGUGCAGUCCGCUGCACAGCCCACCUGGAUGGAUGUUCGCCUGGUGGCACCAGACUUGGAGAAUGUCUGGGCAGCAGCCACAGAGGGCAUGUUCUGACCUCACGUUCAGCAAAUGGUGUCUUCUCAACUGCAGAGUCUCAGUGCAUGGGAUUUCUGGAGGGACACUGACUACUGGAAAGUGAUAGCCAGAAGAUUUUGGAUGUCCACAGUGGUUUCAGUCACAGCUGUCAGGAAUGCAGAGCCUCCAGUGAAAUGCAUGGGAAACCAGUGUGUCCUCUUGAGCGGUCCAGGAAGGAACUUUCCCUGUCCCUCUUCCACUGCAUGAAGUUUCAGCCUUGACCAGGAACUGUGUCCAGCCACUAACCCUUAUUUUUCUGUAUAAUUUUGGAUGGUAAGAAACAUAGUUGAAGCAAAUGUUAAUACUGGCUCUUGAUUACAGCACUGUGGUAAUCAACUGCCUUGGCAUGCUACUGGGUUUGAAAUAAUUGGUCCCAUGCCCCAAAACUUUUAUUUAUUUCUGUAGGGAUAGCAUAAUGGUGACAAAAGGGACUGGGACAUGGAUUCCGUGCUGCAGCUCUCUUGCAAGCAUCAACCCUCCCCCCUCUCCCAAACUCACUCAUCUGACUUGGCACCAAACUACUUUGUAUUGCAGAGAAGAGUGUGGUGCAAUCAGAUCAUGGAUUCAGGUCCAGGACUUCUCAGUGUCUAAGGAUUAUGCUGUGGCAUAAGUAGAUCUAGUUGUUGCAUAUGCCUUUCAGAAGACACUUUGACACUGACUUCUUUUCUGUGCAGAUAUGCAGAUAAAAAUCAGCAGACUAUACUGUGGUAGAUGGCAUCCCCUUGCCAAAAUAAUAAGACCUUUGUGUACGCAGUGUUGGAAGAGAUAUAAUCACUGCAUGUUAUACAAGGCCAAAAUGUAACCUUCAAGGACCCCACAGAGAUCCAGCUGACAAUAAGGACAGCUGAUGCGCCAGUGAGGGUUUGCUCGACAGUCAACUGAAGCAAGAAGGUACGCUCUCAUGAACUGCCAGACCUGAAAGCAUGCUUGUUUCACCAGGCGGUUGAGCAAGCUGGAAGAGUACACGCUGCCCUAUAUGCCCCAGGGCUUGACAGAGAGAUGGAUGAGCACAAAAACAGUGACGAUAAAAGUUCUCCAGCCUUGACCAGUGACGUGUACGUACGUUUGUUGGGUUAACGUAUCAGAAUUAUCAUGAGAAACGAGACAGGAGAUUUCAGUACAGAAAUUAGAUGAUUGUCAUGCCAAGGGUAAUGGAUAGAUUACAUAACAAAGAAGAUGAUAGGGGAGGAUGGUGGAAGUUAACAGGAAGAACUUCUUUCAGGCACCUCACUUUGUUUUAUUGCUGGAAUUGGGAGAAGUGUAAUUGGAGUGUGGGUUAAAAAACAAAUGGAACUCAAACAAAAAGGGCAAGUUGGUGUGGGGGGGGACAACAUUGAAUAGUCUCUUCAGUCCUAAAAUUCUUUUCUUACAGUAUAUUUCAAACCUAGAAAAAUUAUAAGACAGAAUGAUUUCAAAGCCUAAGCAAAUCUCAUCCAAUACUGCUUUCCAUUAAUGAUUCCUGGGCUCUCCAUGAAACAUUCCUAGACUUGCCUUGUUCACAACAGCUCUUUUGAUGGGCAAAAUUGAACAUCUUAGGGAUAAAUAUGGAUAUUUUUAAGCCAAGUAUUUCACUCAGUAACAUGAUGCAAAAGUAAAAAAUUUUUUAAAAGUAAUACUUUUAAGUCUUCCAAACACUCUGAUAUUUUCAGGUAUAUAGACUCCUGCCAGUUUUUUAGGAACAGUAAAUUAAUGUGAACAUGCCUCUGUUAUCCUGUAAUUUUAUGUCCAUUUCCAUGUGUUUCUUGUAUUGUUAGCUUGCCUCCUGCUCUGUGGUUUAUUUGGGCAAGUUGCCUUUUUUAUUGUUGUUGUUACCUUUUGUGAGCAUGCCAGAGACCUUAGGGUGCCAAUAAAUUACAAUAUUAGUGCUCCUUUUUAUUGCCAUAUUACACUCAUUUCCCUCUGCUUGUUUGUGACCUAAUCUUGAACCUCUGCCUAAUCUGCUGAGCUGAAUUUUCUGUGUCCUGAUCAGAUUAGGAGGAGCAGUGGGCAAAUGCAUCCUUG
rnacentral:lncRNA from 1 species